UGGGGAAUAUUGCACAAUGGGCGAAAGCCUGAUGCAGGGAUGCCGCGUGAGUGAUGAAGGCCCUCGGGUUGUAAAGCUCUUUUAUUCGGGAAUAAAGGGAUUUAGUUAAUAGUUAAGUCCUGUGAAGGUACCGGAAGAAUAAGCACCGGCUAACCCCGUGCCAGCAGCUGCGGUAAUACGGGGGGUGCAAGCGUUGAUCGGAUUGACUGGGCGUAAAGGGAGCGUAGGCGGCUUGAAAAGUAGGAUGUGAAAUCUUGAGGCUCAACCUCAAAACUGCAUCCUAAACUUUCAAACUAGAGGGUGGUAGGGGAAAACAGAAUUCUGCAUGUAGCGGUGAAAUGCGUAGAUAUGCAGAGGAAUACCGGUGGCGAAGGCGGUUUUCUGUACCAUUCCUGACGCUGAGGCUCGAAAGUAUGGGGAGCAAACAGG
rnacentral:rRNA from 1 species